rnacentral:lncRNA from 1 species
CCCCGAAACUGAAGAUAAUCGAGGGAGUUUAAAUAACUUGCUAUCUCUCAUUCAAAUGAAAUCUUUCAUUUAAAGAAAUAAAGGCGUAAUAACAGAUUUCCUUUAAAAAGCCAUGAGAGUUAAAAAUAAAAUCAACACACUAUUCUGCCUUAUUAGUCAUCAUGUCCCCAAUAGUUCCUUGAGGGUAGAGAGAUAUGACAGUGUAAUCCAUCUUUGGAUU